GACAGAGGGUGCAAACGUUGUUCGGAAUUACUGGGCGUAAAGCGCGCAGGCGGUCGUUCAAGUCGAGUGUGAAAGCCCCCGGCUCAACUGGGGAGGGUCAUUCGAUACUGAUCGACUCGAAGGCAGGAGAGGGUAGUGGAAUUCCCGGUGUAGUGGUGAAAUGCGUAGAUAUCAGGAGGAACACCGGUGGCGAAGGCGGGUCUCUGGGCCGUAACUGACGCUGAGGAGCGAAAGCGUGGGGAGCGAACAGGA
rnacentral:rRNA from 1 species